rnacentral:rRNA from 1 species
ACGCGUAUCAAACCUGCCUCAUACUCGGGGAUAGCCUUGCGAAAGUAAGAUUAAUACCCGAUGUUGUUAUGUUGCCGCAUGGUGAUAUAACCAAAGAUUUAUCGGUAUGAGAUGGUGAUGCGUCCGAUUAGGUAGUAGGCGGGGUAACGGCCCACCUAGCCAUCGAUCGGUAGGGGUUCUGAGAGGAAGGUCCCCCACACUGGAACUGAGACACGGUCCAGACUCCUACGGGAGGCAGCAGUGAGGAAUAUUGGUCAAUGGACGGAAGUCUGAACCAGCCAAGUAGCGUGCAGGAUGACGGCCCUCUGGGUUGUAAACUGCUUUUAGUUGGGAAUAAAAAAGAGGACGUGUCCUCUAUUGUAUGUACCUUCAGAAAAAGGACCGGCUAAUUCCGUGCCAGCAGCCGCGGUAAUACGGAAGGUCCAGGCGUUAUCCGGAUUUAUUGGGUUUAAAGGGAGCGUAGGCGGAUUAUUAAGUCAGUGGUGAAAGACGGUGGCUCAACCAUCGUUAGCCAUUGAAACUGGUAGUCUUGAGUGCAGACAGGGAUGCUGGAACUCGUGGUGUAGCGGUGAAAUGCUUAGAUAUCACGAUGAACUCCGAUCGCGAAGGCAGGUGUCCGGGCUGCAACUGACGCUGAGGCUCGAAAGUGUGGGUAUCAAACAGGAUUAG